rnacentral:tmRNA from 2 species
GGGGGCGUAAAGGUUUCGACGGGGGACCUGAAGUGCGAUAAGCGAGCGGAGCUGCGGCGUACCUCCUUAAUCUGCGCCACGUUUAAAUAUAAACGCAAGAAAUAAUAUCACAGUUUCUAGAAAUAGCGAACUGGUAGCUGCUUAAGUCAGCUUCUGUCCACCGGGUGAGUACCGCGGCUCCCGCUUGGGCAUCGAUUAGCGGUGAACGUCUGACGGAAGUGUCCGUGUCCGUCAGUUGUAUUCGGACUACUUCUCUGGGCUGCCCGUUUACCGGCUACCCUCUGAGGGAAUUUUAAUAGGUAAAAUACGCUCGUAGAAAGUUUCAUGGACGGUCUUUCGGACAGGGGUUCAAUUCCCCUCGCCUCCACCA